rnacentral:rRNA from 1 species
CCAAGAAGUCCAACAUGUGCGCAAGUCAUUGGGUCUUACGAAACCUAAAGGCGAAAUGAAGGUAAAAACACUACCAAACGAGGUGAGAUCCCCAGCCCUCGCGGGGUGGGGCGCAUCACCAGCCCGUCUGUUCUUGUAAAGACGGAGCGAGAGCGCACACGUUGGGACCCGAAAGAUGGUGAACUAUGCCCGAGUAGGACGAAGCCAGAGGAAACUCUGGUGGAAGUCCGUAGCGAUUCUGACGUGCAAAUCGAUCGUCAAACUUGGGUAUAGGGGCGAAAGACUAAUCGAACCAUCUA